rnacentral:piRNA from 1 species
UGCCCAGUUGGUCAAGGUCCUAGCUA